rnacentral:tRNA from 1 species
UCUACUAAAGGAAAAUAGCCCUCCACUGACCUUAGGAGUCAGCCUUCUUGGUGCAAAUCCAAGUAAUAGAAC